UACAGAGGUGGCAAGCGUUGUUCGGAAUUACUGGGCGUAAAGGGCGCGUAGGCGGCCUUCUAAGUCAGACGUGAAAUCCCCCGGCUUAACCUGGGAACUGCGUCUGAUACUGGGAGGCUUGAGUAUGGGAGAGGGAUGUAGAAUUCCAGGUGUAGCAGUGAAAUGCGUAGAGAUGUGGAGGAACACCGAUGGCGAAGGCAGCCCCCUGGGCCGACACUGACGCUCAUGCACGAAAGCGUGGGGAGCAAACAGG
rnacentral:rRNA from 1 species